GGAAUAUUGGUCAAUGGAGGCAACUCUGAACCAGCCAUGCCGCGUGCAGGAAGACGGUCCUAUGGAUUGUAAACUGCUUUUAUACAGGAAUAAACCUAUCCUCGUGAGGAUAGCUGAAGGUACUGUAGGAAUAAGGAUCGGCUAACUCCGUGCCAGCAGCCGCGGUAAUACGGAGGAUCCAAGCGUUAUCCGGAAUCAUUGGGUUUAAAGGGUUCGUAGGCGGUUUAAUAAGUCAGUGGUGAAAUCUCCUAGCUUAACUAGGAAAUGGCCAUUGAUACUGUUAGACUUGAAUUAUUGGGAAGUAACUAGAAUAUGUAGUGUAGCGGUGAAAUGCUUAGAGAUUACAUGGAAUACCAAUUGCGAAGGCAGGUUACUACUAAUAUAUUGACGCUGAUGGACGGAAGCGUGGGUAGCGAACAGGAUUAGAUACCCUGG
rnacentral:rRNA from 1 species